UACGAAGGGGGCUAGCGUUGUUCGGAAUUACUGGGCGUAAAGCGCACGGUAGGCGGAUUGUUAAGUGAGGGGUGAAUCCCAGGGCUCAACCCUGGAACUGCCUUUUCAUACUGGCAAUCUCGAGUCCGAGAGAGGUGAGUGGAAUUCCGAGUGUAGAGGUGAAAAUUUCGUAGAUAUUCGGAGGAACACCAGCGGCGAAAGGCGGC
rnacentral:rRNA from 1 species